GCACUCCAGCCUGGGCCAAAGAGUUAGACUCCGUCUAGAAAAAGAAAAAAAGUGGUGCCUGGUCUGUAAGCUUAUCAAAAGACCACAUACAGCAAAAUGUAUACCUACAAUUGUUCCUCAAAGAAUUCAAUGACCCUCUUUGUAGUAUUUUUAAAAUAUAUUUGCUCUACUAGUUGUCAGUUUUAUUUCUGAAAAUGUUUAAUGUUUCUUAUGGAGCUAUGAAUAAUAAACAGCAAAGCAAAGGUGCAUUGUAGCACAAACAAUGUCAAUAUGUUUAAAACAGCAGAUACUGAUACAAAGAGGCUUGACCUUAAGAAAGUACCAAAUAAUAUACUGUGAGUGAGAAAAAUAAAGGAAUAUUCUAAGGGAUUCAGACAUAGUCACUGUCAUAACUUGGAGUAGAAGCAUUUUAAGUGAGGUCACCUGCUUUCCGGAUUUGUGUGUUAACGUAACUUUCUCUUCACUUAAAUGGCAUGGCCUUAUCUUUUCCAGAUUAAAGAACCACAUGGCAUGAGUGGAUUUUCCAAGUUUCUUGCUGGGAAGAUUAGACUCAUUAAACUCGGAAGGUAGAGAAACAGUGAGGCCCAAUGGUGUACAGCUCCUGAACUCUCGUCUUCCAGGUAUUGAGCAAUGCAUCUAACAGCAUGAAAGUCAAGAACGCAACACGACAUGGGCUAUUUUCAGACUCUGAGGUCUCUUUCAUCAAAGUCAGUACUGGCUGUGAAGUCCACCUGCUUCCAGUAAUUACUGUAAGCACACUCAGUGUCUCCUGAUUCAAAUGACCUAUUUCUUGGUGAAAUAAGACAUCUCUUAACUUCGACUGUUACAUAUGCUCUCAACUCUAAAUUACUUAUUCACAGGAGACAAAUGUCCCUAGAUCAAUUCAAAGCACUGAUCUCGCUCAGUGGGUCCAUCGAACUCGAAUCCCAAGGCACAAGAAGAAAACAAUCUGCCAAAUAUCCGACAGAAAUGACCAGAUAGAUCUGAAAACCAGCCACACGGAAAACUGCAAAACUGUUUUUCUGAAAUUUUUAUUCAGAGUAACCUAAGAAGGAAUUAAUUUUGCUUUUUUUAAUGUAUGAAAGAAACAGACCCUACAUUUAGAAAAGUAGGUUGUUUGCUUAAUACUUGUAAUAGUUUUGUAGCACCAAUGAACACUUUUUUUGCUUGGCUUCUGUCCUAAACACAUGCAUCUGUAAAUCUGCUCGGAUUUUCAAGCUUCAACAUUCAAACAAAAUAUAUCUCAGUCAUCAGACAUACAAAACAAUUACUUAGCUUUACAAAUUAAUAAUUCAUAUAGAAUAUAAGCUUGAGGUCCUUAUGGCGAAAUUAUUUCUCCUACUUGAUUCGUUUCUGUGUCUGGCAUGGUUGGCCUCUCUCUUUUUUUUGAGACUACUUUCUGCCUUAAAAUCUGAGUACUUGUCCUCUUUUUUCUCUUCCAUUUGCCUCUUGCCUCUUAAUUUGCUUCAUUUUCUCUUCUGCUGCUGCUGGCUGUUUAAAUACUCCUAAUUUUCUGCCCUUUCUUUUUAUCAUCAUCCUAUACUCCUCUCCCUUCCCUCAUCUUUCCUUCCCUUCUCUUCUCUGUUCAUCCCAUUUCUGGGCUUCUAUUUUUAUCCCAAUUUUCUCCUACAAUCUUAUUUUCUUUCAGGGUGAUUUUAUUAUCUAUAAGGUAAUAAUUCCACGAUUAGUUUCUCUAGUCCUGAUUUAAAAAGUGGGGGACAGGGAGGCAUGCCCAAAUCAUUUAAUCAAAACUGAAACAUGCACGGAGAGAUUUGUUAUGCACAAGAUACUAAUUAGGACAAGAAACAGAGUGGAAAAACCUUUGAAAGGUCACACAGUGCCCUCCUUUUCUUCCAGCUAAGGCUUUUCCUAAAUCAGCAUUCCAGAAGUAUUCCAGGGAGCACUCGUUCUGCAAAAUGGCUCUUGAAAAGAAGAAGAAAAAAAGGAGUUCUAUGGCCAAAUUAAUUUGGGAAAAACUGCAUACCAUGUCUCCCUCAUGAAUUUCAAUGAACACUAACAUUGUAAAAACUGAAACAUCUUAGAAGAGAAGAGAUACAUUUAUUUGCAUUUAACCUAACAUUACACAAACUCAUUUGAUUCUGCAACAUUUUUAAUAAGUCAUCUCAUCUUCAGAAACAUUCCUUUAGCCAUUGCAGUAACCUAUUAACUAUGUUCUUCUUUAAGUAUCAUCCUUCUCCAAUCCACUCGAAACUGCCAGCAGGAUCAUCCAUCUAAAACAUUAAUCACACCUCAUAACUCAUCUCCCUAAAAUAACCCAGUGACACCAGGCUCUAUACAAGAUAACAUCUGUACUCCUCAGCAGAGCACAGGAUUUUCAGUAAUUCUAUCUUCGGCUUCCUUGCCUUCACUUUUUUUUUUUUUUUUUUUGCCACAAACUACUCCUUAAUCCACUCUCCCUCAGGUUACCUAAUACUGUAGUCCUCACCAAAUUACUUAAAAUCUUAAAAAUGCCCACUUAUACCUGAUCCUUUCACUUCUCUCCCCUGAUAGACUGUUGCCUACUUUUUCCAUAGUUCUUAUAUGUGCUCCUUUUAAACACAUUUUCUCGAUCACUUUCCUUUAUGUCCAAGUGAGUUAACUGUUUGUUGCCUUGUGUUUCCUCACCACUUUGCAAAUAUCUCUAGAAACAUGAAUCCCACUGGAUUUAUUGCACCUAGGACAUUGCAAGCCUGUAGACCUGCACUGUCUAAUACUGUAGGAUUAGCUACUAUGUGACUUCUGAGCACACGAAAUGUAAUUAGUUUAAACUGACAUGAUUUUAGCAUAAAAUACACACUGAUUUCAAAAGAAAAAAACAAUAAACUUACACCGUUAAUAAUUUAAAAUAUUGAUUUUA